rnacentral:rRNA from 1 species
AGAGUUUGAUCCUGGCUCAGGAUGAACGCUAGCGGCAGGCUUAACACAUGCAAGUCGAGGGGUAUAGAGAGCUUGCUCUCUAGAGACCGGCGCACGGGUGCGUAACGCGUAUGCAAUCUACCUUUUACAGAGGGAUAGCCCAGAGAAAUUUGGAUUAAUACCUCAUAGUAUAACAGGACCGCAUGGUCUAGUUAUUAAAGUUACAACGGUAAAAGAUGAGCAUGCGUCCCAUUAGUUAGUUGGUAAGGUAACGGCUUACCAAGACUACGAUGGGUAGGGGUCCUGAGAGGGAGAUCCCCCACACUGGUACUGAGACACGGACCAGACUCCUACGGGAGGCAGCAGUGAGGAAUAUUGGACAAUGGGCGCAAGCCUGAUCCAGCCAUGCCGCGUGCAGGAUGACGGUCCUAUGGAUUGUAAACUGCUUUUAUACGAGAAGAAACAUCCCGACGUGUCGGGACUUGACGGUAUCGUAAGAAUAAGGAUCGGCUAACUCCGUGCCAGCAGCCGCGGUAAUACGGAGGAUCCAAGCGUUAUCCGGAAUCAUUGGGUUUAAAGGGUCCGUAGGCGGUUUAGUAAGUCAGUGGUGAAAGCCCAUCGCUCAACGGUGGAACGGCCAUUGAUACUGCUAGACUUGAAUUAUUAGGAAGUAACUAGAAUAUGUAGUGUAGCGGUGAAAUGCUUAGAGAUUACAUGGAAUACCAAUUGCGAAGGCAGGUUACUACUAAUACAUUGACGCUGAUGGACGAAAGCGUGGGUAGCGAACAGGAUUAGAUACCCUGGUAGUCCACGCCGUAAACGAUGGAUACUAGCUGUUGGGCGCAAGUUCCAGUGGCUAAGCGAAAGUGAUAAGUUCCCCCCUGGA